rnacentral:lncRNA from 1 species
GGACAGUGGUGCAAUGGAUGCCUGCUACUGAGGAAUAAAACUUGUUAAUUUUCUCCUGCAAAAGAUCCCUGUGUAAUUGAAAUAGGCGACAGUGGAAAAUGCCAGAGUGUUUGGGAGCUAGGCCAGGAGGAGGAUAGGUAUGCAGCUGGUCGUCUGUCUCACUGCUUUUGAGAACACAGGUAAUUACUGCAUGCCAUAUACCUUCCUGAUGAAAUGCCUUUUGGAAAAUCAAAGCUGUUUGGUUCCAAGGCAGAGGCAGUUUCUCUGACCAAAUGGGGUUUAGUAACUCUUCCA